rnacentral:ncRNA from 3 species
UCGUGGGUGACUGCGAAUCUGAAAGAAGCCCGAGGCAAAAUGCUGGCCUGACGAACAGGAAGCGGAUUAGACGGCGUAGCGGGGUAAGACGGCGCAAAUCGUCAAAGCCCAAUGGUGUCCCUAUUUGGCAAGGAGCUCUCGACUCUAUGACUCUAGGCAUGUAGAUCUGUGGAGCCUGAACAGUAGCGUUGUCGAC